AUAGGAUCUAGACCUGGCAUAUCUUCAUACGACCAUGCAAAAAUAUCCGGAUAUUCCCGGAGGAGUUGGAUGAUCUUCUUUUUAACCCCUUCCUCUAGAGCAGCACCGAUUUUGAUCUCUCGUUUGUUCUCCUCGGUACCUAUGUUGAGGAGCUCAAUCUCCUCCUGG
rnacentral:pre_miRNA from 1 species